GUUGCUUUUUUUUUGUUUCUCUCUCGUGUAUUUUUUUCUCUUCUUUUUUUCCUCAAUUUCCUCCUCGUUUCUUUUUUCUCUC
rnacentral:ribozyme from 14 species